CACACGGUGAAUUUUGGAGACAUCUGUCUCUCACAGGUUGCUCUGUCUCUGUAAUAAGCAGCAGCAGAAUCCUGCUCGUGGCUCUGAGAGACUGAUGGGCCAAAACUUACUGUGUGGUUGACACUUCCUGUCAGUCUUGGCAGUCUUGGCAUCCUGUCUUGCUGCAAACGUUUGCAAGGACCUCAUUGCUUUCUGUGACGUGCACCCUGCCCCAGGCAGGAGGGGCAGCCUAAACUCUGUGGAAAAGAGAUAAAAACGAGCUGUCUCACUUUUCACUAUAUUUAAGUAUAAUAACGUGAUAUUUCUGUAAACUGUCAAUAUAGCAAGUUUGCUUCAUUGAAAAUAUUCAUCCUUGGAUAUAUUUCUAGUGUUUCAGUCUUUCUCAAAAAGCAGGAGAAGGUUUGAUCAGUGUGGACUCUAAGGCCUUAUCUAAUUCCUGAUGACAUUUCCCCCAGUGCUGUGCUGCCCUCACUGCUGUGCCAGUUAACUUGUUUUUCACGACCUCCUGUCAGUUUGUGCAGCCACAUCUGAGCAUUGAGCAGCUGAUGCUGCCCUGGAUGAACCUUCCACACAGGGAAUAAUGAUACCCCCAGGAAAGCUGCAGACUCUGGGUGUUGGCCUUCCCUUCAGUGAGAUAAACUAUGCAGCUUGAGAUCUCUGCCUCAUUUCUGCUCUGGAGGAGGCUUGGAGGUUUGUCUUUUGGAGACAACCAUCCUAAUCCUCACAGCCUGCACGUGGCUGGCAGCAGAAACAUUGCCUUAAAACUUCGUCCUGCACUUAAAUGGGUUCUUCCCCUGUGUUGGGCAAUUCCCCUGGAGCUUCACCCCAUUGGGGCUCUGAGUGCUAACUGACUUUUCUCUCUCCAGCUCCUGUUGUUUUCUUGCUUUGUGAAGCCUUCAGCUGCUUUUCCCAUCUAUGGCUCUGUCCUAAGUGUUCCCAAGAUUUGGCAAGGUGCUCACACUGCACAAAAAGAUCAUCUGGCAUAUGAUAAAUCUACUGCUGUGCUUGGUGCUUUGCUGUGGUAGGGAGACUUUGAGAAUCUCAGAGAAUGCAGAAUCAGAUCUACCAUCCCUGUCUGGAGUCCUGAUAAAUAACAAAAGAGAAAUCUUGCUUCCUGGUAGUUUUGGAAAGCUGUGGGCUGUGACAGCUUGCUUCCAACAUAACCUGCCUCUUCAGCCAUUCCCUCAACCUCCUUCUCUUUACAUCCCUUCCUUAAGCUUGCAGUGCUCAUUUAUCUUCUGAUCUGCAUCAAGAAUGUUCUGCUGUGAAACAGGGCUUGGCAUUCCCUGUGCUCCCCAAUCCCACCACAGCCCACCAGUCCCAGGCCUCCCGAGCUCAUGGAUAAAGGGUGAUGGGCAGGGAGAGGCCUGUGCAGCAAACAGACAUGUCCAGUUGGUGGGAGGCUGCUGUCCAGCUCUUUGAUGUGCUAUGGAAAAAAGGGGAUUUUUGAGGAGUUGCCACCUCUCUGCAGUGAGGAUGAGUCAGCACUGGGGAGAUUAUCAUCUGUAGCCUCCCAGUGCACGAGGCUCCCCUUUGGUUUCACCAGCUGAACCACUUCCCGGUUUGGUCCCGUUACAGACAGGAAGGCUGGCUGGGAUUUGUUUCGUGGGAUGUCUGCAGUUCCUGGCAAGAGGAAGGACUUACAAGCUGGGUCAUAGCUUUGAAGGCCCAGCAGGAUUUUGGGAUCCACACUUAAUAGAUCAUAAUAUUUUGUCAGGAAACACUUCAGUCAUUUACACAAGAAAUCAUGAACAGAUGAACUGUCUUCUCCCUUCUACCUCUUGUGACAGGAGAACCCACCUGCAUGUGAACCCCUUCCUGGGCAGAUGGGGAGGGUUUGCAGGGCUCUGGCAAAGCAGGAACCUUUCACAGUCACCAGUGAAGGAACAGCUGCAGUUUCUCUCCUCUGUCUGCUCUGUGUGUAUGAGCCACAGAGACUCUGCAGGCCCAGCCAUGCCAAGAAGAAAAGGCACCAGCAGCUCCCAGUGCUUUCCACACAGGGUUAGGAAUUUUCCAACCCUCUCCUGUGUGCUUUGGUCAGAGUUGCUUGGCUCCUGGCAGGGUGGGAUAGGAAUGUGGACCUUGGGCUUCCAAACUUCACAUGGGCACUCUUUGCCUGCCCACUGCUCCCUGUGCCUUCUCCAGAGGCUCCAAGUGCUUCCCACCUCACAGUGAUCGACCUCACAGCCUAUCUGUGCAAUUUUCUUCAAAGAAACUUCAUGUCUGGUUUGUGUAGCUCCUAAUCCCCCACAAGGCCAUUUUCCUCAGGGGCAGAGGUGGAGUCAAGACUCUCCCAUUCCUCAGAUGUUUUGCACAUUUUAUUUUGCUGUUGGAUUUCCCCCCCCCACCCCACCCCGUUUUUCCAAAGCCUGCUCUGAAGCUGGAGCCAGCAAGGGGAGGUGUAUCCGUGCCUCAGUUGAUUCCCUCUCUCUUCAUCUCUUCAUGACCCCACUUGCAACUGAACAUACUUUCCAUUGCCUCUGGAGCUCGCAAAGGGAGCCUUGGAAAUGUGACAGCCCAAGGGCCCCGACAAAGAACAGAUGCUUUCUGUAAGUCCCACAAGCUGCACAGGGUCUGAAGGGCUGCAGCUGGUGAAUUUUGCAGCUGGACUCUUCCUGGAGCUGCCUCUCGCUUUUGGGCUUUAAGAAAUUUCAUUAUUUGUUGCUCUGGGACUAAAACAAAAAUAAAGUUGGGGAGGGGAAAGACAUUUUAAAAGAAAACUUCUGCUUUGCAACCUCACGUCUGCUUCAGCAGCACAAAAAAAAGUGGGGCCUGGCAGGAGCAGGCAAAGGCUCAGAAAGACGUGACUGUGUCUGGCACAGAACUGUUACUAAAUCUGAGUGGAAAGGGUGGUUUUUUUGCUUCCUCUUUUAACAUAAUCUUAUUUUUUCAGUUCGGAUUUGUGAGAUGUGGAGUGUUACAGCAUUUCUGGACUGUGAGGAUGGUUGUCAAAUGCUAACACAGGGAGUCCUUAAAGGAUGAGAGUUGGAGGUAGCUGAAAAGUGUCCAUGUGAUUUGUUGCACUCUUUUCUGAGAAUUCUUGGAAAAUUUAGACUGUCUGGGUAAAGAGAGCCACAUCUCUAUUCCACUGGGAGGAAGAUCCAUCUCCAGUUGACAGCUUUGGUUUUGCUGGUGCUCACAUCCCCAAUACAAAAGUCAGGGACUCAGUCACGUUGCAAAUAAAAUAAUUUUGCUCUUUUGGAGUCCUUUGGCGUAAAACCUUGGUCCAUGCAGGACAGGAAUGAUCCCUGUCCUUUGUCAGGAGAGGGAAGCAGUGGCUGCUGAGAGGCCUGGUGACCACUCAGCAGCUUUGGCUGCAAGGACAACGCUGAUCCAGUUCUGCUAAAACCUUCCUGCAGUGAGCUGGGGGCUGCAGCUGCUGCUCUGGUGCUGGGCAGGCACCUGGUGUGUCUCCAGGGUCCUGCAGGAGCUGGUGGAACCACUCCAGAGUCCAGGAGAGGCUGCAGGAGUUGUUAGCCAGGUAACACUGCCCUGUGCCAACCUGCUCUGCAGUGCCAGAGGCAACUGCCCUCUGUUCCUGCAGUGUGUUGCCUCUGCAGCAGGUACCUGAAGGAAUCAUGAAAUUUGGAAAAAGACUGGGAAAAAAUUUCCCUGACUGGGGUGUGGUGUAUUUAUGUUCUGUUCUCAUGGUUCGUGGGGAGGGAGGUCGUCAGCUUUGUUGUUCUUUUUCCGCUGUCAAACUGUUGAAUAAUGAUUCUGUUGCUGCUAAACUGGUUACAGGAUCUGUCCCUGAGGAUGGCUGUAAUAAAAUAAAUAAUAGGAAAUGAUCCACAUAUAAGUAGAUAUGUGGUGUUUUGUUCUAAAAAUUGCCUUACUCUGCUGCAAAGGACACCCAUCCUACAAAGCUAUAUAUAGAGAAUUCCAGGGAAAAGGCUGCUUGUCUUUUUCUGGAGCACAGGUUGGAUCUUAUUUAGGGUCUGAGCUCUGCCCACUUGACGUGAGCCAUGAUGGGGUGACAGAUCCUCUCCUUGCUGGAGCUCCGUUUGAUCGGGGGAAGAAGGGAGGGUUUACGUCCAUCGCCUGGAGACAGAGGUGAAAACACUGGUAGCGUAAACACUCCAUGUUGGGGAUUUUCCAGCCGUGCCUAAGCAGUGACAAAUAAAACAUUCCUGCUUUGUGCUCCCGCUGGACGUGCUCUCCCUGUAUGGUAGAGGACUGCGGGCUGCAGCCAGCGCUCCUGCCUGAGGCACGAGCAAAUGAAAGAGAAAUAAAAAAAUAGAACUCUUCAGUACAAGAAAUAAAACCAUUCAGGACUUAAGGUGUACUCCCAUCCCAGAGUGGUAAAAUCCUGGUUUUUGUCUGGACACAGACAAGUUUUUAGUGCAGCCCUUGCCCUGCCAAGUGUUCUGUGCAACACUCGUGUUGUUGGGGAGCUGCUGAAACUUUGGAUCCCAGGACAUGGAGAAAACAAGUGUUGUGUGGCCCUGGCUGCAGGAUCUGUCACACAAUACCCAGAAUAGAAGUUAAUUGUGUCAUUUUGAAUGAGAAGUGAACUUUAGCAGCAGACCAGGAGGGAACCCUCCUUGGUGCACUGCUAGAAUUUGCUCAGGGCACGCACAGGAUGGUUGGAAAAAACCCAGCCUGGGCAUGUCAGGAUUCAAAUAACGUGCACCCUCUCGUGGUUUAUUCCUGUCACAGGGUGAGCACACCGGAUGGUUUCUGUGUGGAACAGGCUGGGGAUCCCCUCAGCUGCUGUUGAUUUAAGAAAAGACUUACACUAAGAUUUGUUCUGUAUUUUAUGGGGUUUUUUUCAAUGUAAGAGCUAUGCUACAUUUGCUGUAAAAGGAUUUCUGUCUUCAGUGUUUUUCAGACUCAUUCUUUCACCUUGAAAGGCCAGUUCAAUGUGCAGGUGACCUGUCCCUUGGCAAAGUUUGGGUUGACACCAGUGGGGAUGGAUAUGAGGAUACUGCAGCUGGAGCCCCCCUUGAAGAUCAGCUUUCAAACCAUUCCUCUUUUGGCAGCACUUCCACCUUUAAUAAAGGUGAUAAAGACAAGAUCAAGGGCUCUGUUUCCCAGAGAGUAAAAAGCUCUGGAAUUUCUUCAGGACUCCAGUAUUUUGGACACUCCAUUGCUGGUGGCUUUGAUUUCCCUAAUGAUGGUCUCCAAGACAGGGCAGCAGGAUCUCUGGAGAACGUGACUCUGCUCUGCCAUGUGAGGUCCACUGUUUUUCCAGGGUUUUUCUGAGAAUUAAACAUGAGAAAAAUGAUAACAUGGAGUUUCCUGUUCCUUGUUCCUAUGCUGGACAGACACUACCUAUCAGAAAAUGCAUUUUCAGUUCCCUGGCAUGGACUGCAGCAGCAGGACUGUCUGUGCUGCUCAUUUGGCUUUGACAAGGCAGAUUUGAUAGGAGUCACUGCUGGGCCACACUGAAGAGUGCCCAUGAACGUUUCACUAAUGGAGGUGACUCCUGUGCGACAACUCCUGUCCUGAACCACCCCAAAAACUUAUUUUGGGAAGGUGACAGCCAAGGUGGGGUUGUAGAACAGCCCCACAGCUCACAGCAAACUGCUGAAAGGAAACCCAGCACAGACACUGAAGCAAUUUAUUACCCAAACAAACCUUGCAAUGAGCUCCAGGGGAGGGAGGGAGCAUUUCAGUUGUUAGGACUAGAGCCUAAAUACUGGAUUUAUCUGAUUUAAGGCUCUCAAGCUUUUAUUGGGCUAUUUGUGCCUAAUUCGUUUUAUGGGAGCAGACCCAGGCUGAGUUGAAUUUCCCAGUGUUUUUAUCUAGCAUUAAGAGCGUUCCU